AAUAUAGAUAAAUUUUAUAUGGUUUAUGUAAUUUAUUAUAAGUUUAUUUUACAUAUAAAUUUUAGUAUAAAUAAAUUUUUAUUUAAAAAAUAAUAUUUAUUUAAGUAGUAAUUAAUAUUAAAUAUUUAAGAAAUUAAGAUUUAGUAAUACAGAAAUUAUUAACAAAUUUUGUGCCAGCAGUUGCGGUUAUACAAAAAUUAAAUUAAAUUUUAUUAGUUAUUUAAUAAUUAAGAUACAUAAAUAUUUUAAAUUAAAAUUAAAAUUAUUAAGUGAAAUUUUAAUUUUAAAAUAUUUUAAAUUUUUAUAUUUAUGAUUUAAUAAAUUUUAAUUUUAAACUAGGAUUAGAUACCCUAUUAUUAAAAAAUUUAAAUUUAUAAUACUAAAAUAGUAUGUAAUUAUUUAUUGAAACUUAAAUAUUAUGGCGGUAUUUUAGUUUAUUUAGAGGAAUCUGUUUAUUAAUUGAUAAUCCACGAAUAAUUUUACUUAAUUUUAUUAUUUUGUAUAUCGUUGUUAUAAAAAUAUUUUUUAAUAAUUAUAAUAUUUUAAAAUUAAAAUUAAAAAUUAAAUCAAAUCAAGAUGCAGAUUAUAAUUAAGAAUAUAAUGGAUUACAAUAAAUUUAUUUAAAUGAAUUUUAAUUUGUAAUAAUUAAAUAAAAGUGGAUUUAAAUGUAAAUUUAUUUAAUUUAUUAAAUUGAUUUAAAAUUAAAAUAUGUACAUAUUGCCCGUCGCUUUCAUGUAUAAAUUGAAAUAAGUCGUAACAAAGUAGAGGUACUGGAAAGUGUUUCUAGAAAGAA
rnacentral:ncRNA from 1 species